GAUGAAGAACGUAGCGAAAUGCGAUAAGUAAUGUGAAUUGCAGAAUUCAGUGAAUCAUCGAGUCUUUGAACGCACAUUGCGCCCCCUGGUAUUCCGGGGGGCAUGCCUGUCCGAGCGUCAUUGCUGCCCUCAAGCACGGCUUGUGUGUUGGGCCUCCGUCCUCCUCCCGGGGGACGGGCCCGAAAGGCAGCGGCGGCACCGCGUCCGGUCCUCGAGCGUAUGGGGCUUCGUCACCCGCUCUUGUAGGCCCGGUCGGCGCUUGCCGACACAUCAAUCUUUUUUCCAGGUUGACCUCGGAUCAGGUAGGGAUACCCGCUGAACUUAAGCAUAUCAAUAAGCGGAGGA
rnacentral:misc_RNA from 1 species